rnacentral:miRNA from 1 species
GGGCUCGUCAUGGGGUAGC